CCUACGGGUGGCAGCAGUGGGGAAUAUUGCACAAUGGGGGAAACCCUGAUGCAGCGACGCCGCGUGAGUGAAGAAGUAUUUCGGUAUGUAAAGCUCUGUUAGCAGGGAAGAAAAUGACGGUACUUGACCAAGAAGCUCCGGCCAACUACGUGCCAGUCGCCGCGGUAAUACGUAGGGGGCAAGCGGUAUCCGGAUUUACUGGGUGUAAAGGGAGUGUAGACGGCAGGGCAAGUCUGGAGUGAAAGGCGGGGGCUCAACCCCCGGACUGCUCUGGAAACUGCCAGGCUAGAGUGCAGGAGAGGUAAGUGGAAUUCCUAGUGUAGCGGUGAAAUGCGUAGAUAUUAGGAAGAACACCGAUGGCGAAGGCAGCUUACUGGACUGUAACUGACGUUGAGGCUCGAAAGCGUGGGGAGCAAACAGGAUUAGAUACCCUAGUAGUC
rnacentral:rRNA from 1 species